GCCCACUUGGCUCCCUCUAGGGAAGUACUCCCAGCUGCCCAGAGUCAUCCUUCUCCAUCCCACUGACCUUCCACCCGUGACCAAUCAGGAGAUGUUUCCAGUUUAUUGGUGAAUUUAUUAGGGCUCAGAGAGGAUGACCUAUCCAAGGUCCCACUGCCAACUGAAUGUAGGACAAGUCUCUGAACCCAGUGUGCCCCUGCCAGAAAGUAGCAGGGAUCACAGAAGUCCAGCAGAGGUCUGCCGCCUUGGACCCUGCCUCUUACACAUUGAGUGUGGUUUCUGCAGUGAUGGAUGCCAAGACAGGAGGAUUGCUUGAUGCCAAGACAGGAGGAUUGCUUGAGGCCAAGUAUUCAAGACCAGCCUGGGCAACACAGACAUUGCAACAUCCCUGUCUUUACCAAAAAGGAAAAAAUUAGCCAGCCAUGGUGGCAUGCACCUAUGGGCCUAGUUACUCAAGAGGCUGAUGUGGGAAGAUAGCUUGAGCCCAGGAGUUCAAGGUUACAGUGAGCUAUGAUCGCAUCACUGCACUCCAGCCUGGGUGACAGAAUAAGACCACGUCUCAAAAAACAAAGAAACAAACAAACCAGCCUGGGACCUCCUCCCUGCUUUGCUUCCUCUUCAGCAUGUGUGAUCUCUUUGCACAUGCCGAUUCCCCUUUCACAUUCCACCUUGAGCUGAAGCAGCCUGAGACCCUCACCAGAGGCCCAAUCUUGAACUUUCCAGCCACCAGAAUUGCAAGCUAAAUAAACCUCUUUUCUUCAUAAA
rnacentral:lncRNA from 1 species